AUUGAACGCUGGCGGCAUGCCUUACACAUGCAAGUCGAACGGCAGCAUGGAGAGCUUGCUCUCUGAUGGCGAGUGGCGAACGGGUGAGUAAAGCAUCGGAACGUACCGUGUAGUGGGGGAUAACGUAGCGAAAGUUACGCUAAUACCGCAUACGCACUGAGGUGGAAAGCAGGGGAUCGCAAGACCUUGCGCUAUACGAGCGGCCGAUGUCAGAUUAGCUAGUUGGUAGGGUAAAGGCCUACCAAGGCGACGAUCUGUAGCGGGUCUGAGAGGAUGAUCCGCCACACUGGGACUGAGACACGGCCCAGACUCCUACGGGAGGCAGCAGUGGGGAAUUUUGGACAAUGGGGGAAACCCUGAUCCAGCCAUGCCGCGUGAGUGAAGAAGGCCUUCGGGUUGUAAAGCUCUUUCGGCUGGGAAGAAAUCGCACAGGCUAAUACUCUGUGUGGAUGACGGUACCAGCAUAAGAAGCACCGGCUAACUACGUGCCAGCAGCCGCGGUAA
rnacentral:rRNA from 1 species